AUCAACUUUCGAUGGUAGGAUAGAGGCCUGCCAUGGUGGUAACGGGUAACGGGGAAUUAGGGUUCGAUUCCGGAGAGGGAGCCUGAGAAAUGGCUACCACAUCCAAGGAAGGCAGCAGGCGCGCAAAUUACCCAAUCCCGACACGGGGAGGUAGUGACAAUAAAUAACAAUACGGGGCUCUUUCGGGUCUCGUAAUUGGAAUGAGUACAAUUUAAAUCCCUUAACGAGGAACAAUUGGAGGGCAAGUCUGGUGCCAGCAGCCGCGGUAAUUCCAGCUCCAAUAGCGUAUAUUAAAGUUGUUGCAGUUAAAAAGCUCGUAGUUGAAUUUCGGGAUUGACACAUCGGUCGUGCCUUAAGGGGUAUGAACUGGUGUAGUCAGUUUCUCACCUUCUGGAGAACCGCGAUGUCCUUAAUUGGGUGCCGCGGGGAACCGGGACCUUUACUUUGAAAAAAUUAGAGUGUUUAAAGCAGGCAUUUUGCUUGAAUACAUUAGCAUGGAAUAAUAAAAUAGGACGGAUGGUUCUAUUUUGUUGAUUUCUAGGAUCACCGUAAUGAUUAAUAGGGAUAGUUGGGGGCAUUAGUAUUCAAUUGUCAGAGGUGAAAUUCUUGGAUUUAUUUGAAGACUAACUACUGCGAAAGCAUUUGCCAAGGAUGUUUUCAUUUAAUCAAAGAACGAAAGUUAGGGGAUCGAAGACGAUCAGAUACCGUCGUAGUC
rnacentral:rRNA from 1 species